GUUGAAGCACCAGUUCCCAUGUGAUCACCAAAGUUAAGCAAUGUCAAGCCUGGUCAGUACAUAGAUGGAUGACUGCUUGUGAAUAGCAGGUGCUGUAAU